rnacentral:lncRNA from 1 species
ACUGAAUUAGUGAAAUUUCAUGGAUCAUGGAAAAUCAAUACAUUUUCUAAACUAUAACAUGGGAUUUUCUAUCUCGAACCUCAAUCCGGUCAACAAGUUUUUAAUCUACUCGGGUGGGUUGUAGCAAUAGUUCGGUAUUCGGAUUGGAUGAUUCAACCAAGCAACCUCAUCUUGUUUUCGAGAAUUCCAAGCUACAAGUGUU